rnacentral:rRNA from 1 species
GACGAACGCUGGCGGCGUGCUUAACACAUGCAAGUCGAACGGAAAGGCCCUGCUUUUGUGGGGUGCUCGAGUGGCGAACGGGUGAGUAACACGUGAGUAACCUGCCCUUGACUUUGGGAUAACUUCAGGAAGCUGGGGCUAAUACCGGAUAGGAGCUCCUGCUGCAUGGUGGGGGUUGGAAAGUUUCGGCGGUUGGGGAUGGACUCGCGGCUUAUCAGCUUGUUGGUGGGGUAGUGGCUUACCAAGGCUUUGACGGGUAGCCGGCCUGAGAGGGUGACCGGCCACAUUGGGACUGAGAUACGGCCCAGACUCCUACGGGAGGCAGCAGUGGGGAAUAUUGCACAAUGGGCGGAAGCCUGAUGCAGCAACGCCGCGUGCGGGAUGACGGCCUUCGGGUUGUAAACCGCCUUCGCCUGUGACGAAGCGUGAGUGACGGUAAUGGGUAAAGAAGCACCGGCUAACUACGU